CCCUAGGAAUCUAGAAGACAUCAGUUCUGACAGGUGCCAUGUGAACAGUGCUGCAUCCAGUAAGGAACAAAAGUAUGAUACCACCAGUCCCAAAGUGCACAAAGCUCUGGGGAGAAUCUGGAAAGGGUCCCAUGGAGCAGCCUUUGUAAAGUGCUUUGCAAUCUACAAAUGCAAAAGACAUGGUAUCAGGGCUAAGUAUCGCUAUUAUAACUUCACACCCUGUCGUGGGCUGUUGCUUACAUGAUAGCAAGACAACUGAUAGACAGCUACCAUGGGAAAGCUUGCGAGCUGAUCAGGUUGCUAUUGCCACAUUUCUCUUCCCGGCCUACCC